rnacentral:rRNA from 1 species
UACAGAGGUCUCAAGCGUUGUUCGGAUUCAUUGGGCGUAAAGGGUGCGUAGGCGGCGCGGUAAGUCGGGGUGUGAAAUCUUGGAGCUUAACUCCGAAACUGCAUUCGAUACUGCCGUGCUUGAGGACUGGAGAGGAGACUGGAAUUUACGGUGUAGCGGUGAAAUGCGUAGAUAUCGUAAGGAAGACCAGUGGCGAAGGCGGGGUCUCUGGACAUUCCUGACGCUGAGGCACGAAGGCCCAGGGGGGAGCAAAACGGGG